rnacentral:rRNA from 1 species
UGGGGAAUUUUCCGCAAUGGGCGAAAGCCUGACGGAGCAACGCCGCGUGAGGGAUGAAGGCCUCUGGGCUGUAAACCUCUUUUAUCAAGGAAGAAGAUCUGACGGUACUUGAUGAAUAAGCCACGGCUAAUUCCGUGCCAGCAGCCGCGGUAAUACGGGAGUGGCAAGCGUUAUCCGGAAUUAUUGGGCGUAAAGCGUCCGCAGGCGGCCUCGUAAGUCUGUCGUUAAAGCGUGGAGCUUAACUCCAUUUCGGCGAUGGAAACUGUGAGGCUUGAGUGUGGUAGGGGCAGAGGGAAUUCCCGGUGUAGCGGUGAAAUGCGUAGAUAUCGGGAAGAACACCAGUGGCGAAGGCGCUCUGCUGGGCCAUAACUGACGCUCAUGGACGAAAGCCAGGGGAGCGAAAGGGAUUAGAUACCCCUGUAGUC